GAAUUGAGUAUUUAAUAAACAAGUACUGAACACCCUUUACCUGCCACCCUCUCUACUCUGCUUGGAAACAUUGACUUUCAAUGCUGGAAUGAACCUUCCAGUUAUCUGGCCCCCCAAUGUAUUUCAAGGAGGAGGAGCUUGAAGCCACUGCUGCUGUCAGGGUAUUUCUGGUUUCUGGGUGGAGGAGGGGAACAGCAGCAGCUGGAAGUUCUGUUUGUUGCUCUUCAUUCAGAGUCAGAGGAGCCCUUCAGAGAUCACUUAGAAGGGAUAACUUUGGAGAGAACUUCCGGCUAAUCAUCCAACAGUGGCUUGCUAGAAUGAAGGCCAUGAACUUUGUGCUGAGAGAAGCUUUGGGAUUUCAGAAGAAUAUUCUCAAAUGUUUGUUGCAGAGAAAAAUCACUCCUGUUGAGAACCACUACCUUUAAAAGAUGAGAAAAGAUGCAAGAGAAAGAUGCAAGAGAAAGAGUUGGAGAUGGAAUGGUCCAUGGUGCAACAGUGACUGCAGCUCCUGUCCCCAUCCAUCAGCAAUGAUGAGGAUCAAGUGUUGGCUCACUUGCUGAAUGGGGCAACAUGGAGCUACGAAGAGUUUCUUCCAACUGACCCUGGGACCUUGACUAAGUCUCAAAUUUACUCCAUAUGGAAAGCAGGUAGUCUAAAAU